rnacentral:tRNA from 1 species
GGUCGCAUAGCUCAGUUGGUUAGAGCGCUUGCCUCACAUGCAAGAGGUCGCAGGUUCGAGUACUGCUGCGACCACCA